AACGAACGCUGGCGGCAGGCCUAACACAUGCAAGUCGAGCGAGAUCUUCGGGUCUAGCGGCGGACGGGUGAGUAACGCGUGGGAAUAUGCCCUUCUCUGCGGAAUAGCCUCGGGAAACUGAGCGUAAUACCGCAUACGCCCUUUCGGGGAAAGAUUUAUCGGAGAAGGAUUAGCCCGCGUUGGAUUAGGUAGUUGGUGGGGUAACGGCCUACCAAGCCGACGAUCCAUAGCUGGUUUGAGAGGAUGAUCAGCCACACUGGGACUGAGACACGGCCCAGAAUACUACGGGAGGCAGCAGUGGGGAAUCUUAGCCAAUGGGGGCAAUCCUGAUCUAGCCAUGCCGGGUGAGUGAUGAAGGCCUUAGGGUUGUAAAGCUCUUUCAGCUGGGAAGAUAAUGACGGUACCAGCAGAAGAAGCCCCGGCUAACUCCGUG
rnacentral:rRNA from 1 species